AUCCAGCUGACGAGUCCCAAAUAGGACGAAAUGCGUAUCAAACUGGAU
rnacentral:hammerhead_ribozyme from 1 species